GACGAACCGUACGAACGUUAUUCGGAAUUACUGGGCUUAAAGGGUGCGUAGGCGGCGCAGUAAGUUGGGUGUGAAAUCCCUCGGCUUAACCGAGGAAUUGCGCCCAAAACUACUGUGCUCGAGGGAGAUAGAGGUGAGCGGAACUUAGGGUGGAGCGGUGAAAUGCGUUGAUAUCCUAAGGAACACCGGUGGCGAAAGCGGCUCACUGGAUCUCUUCUGACGCUGAGGCACGAAAGCUAGGGUAGCAAACGGGA
rnacentral:rRNA from 1 species